AGAGUUUGAUCAUGGCUCAGAGCGAACGCUGGCGGCAUGCUUAACACAUGCAAGUCGCACGGGCAGCAAUGUCAGUGGCGGACGGGUGAGUAACGCGUAGGAACAUGUCCGAUGGUGGGGGAUAACGUUGGGAAACUGACGCUAAUACCGCAUGAUCCCUGAGGGGGAAAGCAGCGAUGCGCCGACGGAGUGGCCUGCGUAGGAUUAGCUAGUUGGUGGGGUAACGGCCUACCAAGGCUACGAUCCUUAGCUGGUCUGAGAGGACGAUCAGCCACAUUGGGACUGAGACACGGCCCAAACUCCUACGGGAGGCAGCAGUGGGGAAUAUUGGACAAUGGGCGCAAGCCUGAUCCAGCAAUGCCGCGUGUGUGAAGAAGGUCUUCGGAUUGUAAAGCACUUUCGGCGGGGACGAUGAUGACGGUACCCGCAGAAGAAGCCCCGGCUAACUUCGUGCCAGCCGCCGCGGUAAUAC
rnacentral:rRNA from 1 species